rnacentral:rRNA from 1 species
GGGUUGUGAGGUUAAGCGACUAAGCGUACACGGUGGAUGCCCUGGCAGUCAGAGGCGAUGAAGGACGUGCUAAUCUGCGAUAAGCGCCGGUAAGGUGAUAUGAACCGUUAUAACCGGCGAUACCCGAAUGGGGAAACCCAGUGUGACUCGUCACACUAUCAUUAACUGAAUCCAUAGGUUAAUGAGGCGAACCGGGGGAACUGAAACAUCUAAGUACCCCGAGGAAAAGAAAUCAACCGAGAUUCCCCCAGUAGCGGCGAGCGAACGGGGAGGAGCCCAGAGCCUGAAUCAGCAUGUGUGUUAGUGGAAGCGUCUGGAAAGGCGCGCGAUACAGGGUGACAGCCCCGUACACAAAAGCGCAUGUGCUGUGAGCUCGAUGAGUAGGGCGGGACACGUGGUAUCCUGUCUGAAUAUGGGGGGACCAUCCUCCAAGGCUAAAUACUCCUGACUGACCGAUAGUGAACCAGUACCGUGAGGGAAAGGCGAAAAGAACCCCGGCGAGGGGAGUGAAAAAGAACCUGAAACCGUGUACGUACAAGCAGUGGGAGCACAGGUUUACCUGUGUGACUGCGUACCUUUUGUAUAAUGGGUCAGCGACUUAUAUUCUGUAGCAAGGUUAACCGAAUAGGGGAGCCGGAGGGAAACCGAGUCUUAACCGGGCGUUAAGUUGCAGGGUAUAGACCCGAAACCCGGUGAUCUAGCCAUGGGCAGGUUGAAGGUUGGGUAACACUAACUGGAGGACCGAACCGACUAAUGUUGAAAAAUUAGCGGAUGACCUGUGGCUGGGGGUGAAAGGCCAAUCAAACCGGGAGAUAGCUGGUUCUCCCCGAAAGCUAUUUAGGUAGCGCCUCGUGAAUUCAUCUCCGGGGGUAGAGCACUGUUUCGGCUAGGGGGCCAUCCCGGCUUACCAACCCGAUGCAAACUGCGAAUACCGGAGAAUGUUAUCACGGGAGACACACGGCGGGUGCUAACGUCCGUCGUGAAGAGGGAAACAACCCAGACCGCCAGCUAAGGUCCCAAAGUCAUGGUUAAGUGGGAAACGAUGUGGGAAGGCCCAGACAGCCAGGAUGUUGGCUUAGAAGCAGCCAUCAUUUAAAGAAAGCGUAAUAGCUCACUGGUCGAGUCGGCCUGCGCGGAAGAUGUAACGGGGCUAAACCAUGCACCGAAGCUGCGGCAGCGA